AUUGUCCAAUUUCACUUAGUCUUAAAAUUCUUAUUUAUUAAUUAUUAUCUGCAAAUAAUAAGCCAUGGUUGAGUGUCUGUGCUGUAAUAUAGUGACUGGCAGAGUAAUAUAAUAUUCGUCUAGGUGGCAGUAGGUAAUUGCCUCCUACCUUCUUAGAGACAAGAGAAUUAGUGACGCAUGCGACAGGUCGUGGUGGCAGUGAUGGAGAAGUUUUUAAAAAGGAAAAAUGCAAACUCCGAACUGGGCCCUGGACAAGACUGUGACCCAGGUGAAGGGCCUAGUAUGAGUGGUGGUAAAAAGAAAGCAAAGAUGGUGAGCUCGAGGCAAUACAGCGAAAGCUAUCUUUCGUUAAUAUUUACUUUCACCAGCGAUGAGAUGACCCCGACUCCAUUAUGCUUGGUGUGUGGCGAGAAGCUGUCCAAUAGCGCCAUGGUGCCAAGCAAGCUUAAACGCUAUCUCCAAGUGAAACACCCGUCGCUUCAAAACAAGCCGAUGGACUAUUUUCUUUGCCUGCGUGAAAACACCGAAACAGGCAACAUUAAUGAGAAAAACCACAAAGGUAAAUUAGAAAGCCCUCAAAGCUAGUUGCUGCACUUGUAGCUAAAUGAAAAAAGUCCCACACUGUGGCAGAGACGUUAAUACUACCUGCCCGCAAAGACACUGUCAACGAGAUGCUCGGCCCUGACGCGGUUAAAGACAUAUCUAAACUCCCGCUCUCAGAUAACACAAUCGCCAGACGUACUGAUGACAUGUCUACAGACAUCGAAAGCCAUGUUUUGGAAAAGAUACGCAUCAGUAGGAAAUUUGUGUUGCAACUUGAUGAGUCUACGGAUAUUCUCAGCUCUUGGUCAAUGUGCGUUUUGUGGAUGGAGAUGCCAUUAGAGAAAACUUCCUAUUUUGUAAGGCACUGCCAGAAAAAAACAACAGGAGAGGAAAUUUUUUGGGUCACAUCAGAAUAUCUUGAGCAGGGAGGACUUACAUGGGAAAAUUGCACAAGUGUUUGCACUGAUGGAGCUGCAGCCAUGGUCGGGCACACCUAAGGCUUCGUUAGCAGAGUGAAGGAAAGAAACCCAGAUCUUAUUGUUACACACUGUUUUCUGCACCGUGACCCCUUCGUUGCAAAGACUUUACCAGCAGAACUAGUUCCUGUGGUGGAUGAUGUUGUGCACAUAGGGAACUUUGUAAAGACACGACCUUUGAAAAGUCGUAUAUUUGCAUCUUUGCGUGAGGAAAUGUGAGCGGAGCAUAAAGCCUUAUUGCUCCAUACGGAGGUCCGAUGGUUGUAGCAUGACAAGUUGCUGGCCCGUGUGUAUGAGCUGUGGGAGGAACUUAAAGUGUUUCUGACAAAUGAGAGGUCUGAUUACUCAAAUCUGUUUGCAAGUGAUGAGUGGUGUGCAAAGCUGGCAUACCUGGCAGAUAUGUUUCAUCAUCUGAAUGAACCGAACACACGGAUGCAAGGCCGAAAUGAGAACCUGCUUACAAGCAUGGAUAAAAUAAAUGGAUUCCAUUUAAAGGUGCACCUCUGGCAACAACAUGUGCAAAGUGCCAACCUUGAGAUGUUCCCACUCACAGAGGAACGGCAAGAUCACCCUGCUGCACUGUGCGAGGUAAUAGGUAAACAUCUGAAAACUCUUGAGGAGAAGUUGUCAUUUUAUUUCUCUUCAGCCUCCACUGAAUGCCUUGACUGCUGUUGGAAAGGACAUAACUUUACAGGAGCAGGAGGAACUAACUGAACUGAAACAAGAUCGUGGUUUAAAGCUAAGAUUUGCUGAACUUCCUUUGGACAGUUUUUGGUUGACUGCUGCCAAGGAAUUCCCCAUUCUGGCCAACAAAGUUUUGACAUUGCUCCCAUUUUCCACAACAUAUGUGUGUGAGCUGAGCUUUUCAAGCCUAACUGCUAUAAAAACUAAAAACAGAGAGAGACUGAAAGCUGGUGAAGAAGAGCUUUGUGUAUGCCUUUCUUCAAUUCCUGCCAGGAUAUCGGCUUUGUGUUCAUCUAAACAGGCCCAGGUUUCACACUGAGAAGCUGCCUUAAUCACGAUGAACCCAGGCUACGCAGGCAGGACCGAGCUCCGGGACAACCUGGAGGCCGCUUCAGAUCCGUCUCCAUGAUUGUGCCCGACCACGCCGUCAUCGCAGAGGUGUGCUCGGGUGCCGUCAUUCAUUACAUUAUGUAAUGAACGCAAUAACGGAUGUAUUCUGGCGUGUUACAGAACCGUUUCACGUUGUCUUUUUUGCUGUAGGUGGACUUGUGAGCUGAGGGCUUUAAGUCCAGUGAGACCCUGCGAAGAAGAUGAUUCAGCUGUAUAAGCUGUGCAGCAAGCAGCUUUCCCGGCAGGACCACUACGACUUCAGCAUGAGAGUCGUCAACUCUGUUAUCGUCAUGGCCGGGUAUGUCCGUCUACGAACAGGGUGAACAUAUUAGGUCUCUGAUGCGAGAGAACCCACACCUGAGUGAGAAUGUGGUGUUGAUUAGAGCGCUACGAUACUCCAACCUGCCCAAGUUACUCAAGGAUGACGCAGAACUUAAAAUAAAAUAAAUUGAUAAAUAGUAAAGAACGCCAAAGCUUACAUAUGGAGUAUCAAAGGUCAUUAUCACAGGAUCACUGGAAUCAGGAGGAAAUAACCCUAACCCUAGGAGGAAAUUCCAGGACAAAUUAGGAAAUACAAUUAACUGACAUUUGCAAAUUCUUUGUAACUAAAAAGCUGUAAUUAUAUACUAUAUAACUUUUUUUUUUAAAGCAUUUGAAGUAUAUAACAUUAGCACCUUGUAAUGUUAUACCAGAUGAAAAGUAAAGAAUCCUGGAACAUCUGAACAUCCAUAAUCUGAAAAUCUUGAACCUAGUGUCAGUCGAGUCAAUCCAAUCUUUGUGUGUUUAGCGGUAUUCAGUCGGACCUCUUUCCUGGUGUGGGCGUCCCCGUGCAUGACUACGGCGUGCUUCAGUCGAACAUCGAGGCAGCUCUAUGCGCCCGCUCCCUGCAACCCUUCUCCAGCAUGACCGCCAAGGUGAUCCAGCUGUACGAGACCAUGCUGGUGCACCAGGUCGUCUCGCUGGUGGGCCCUACAAGAGGCGGUUAGACCACAGCGUACCGUGCCCUCGCUGACGCACUGCGCACUCUCCACGAGACAGAGGGCUGCGAGGUGAAUCCCUUAUACAAGCCCAUCAAGACCUACGUGCUCAACCCCCAGUCAGUGAGCAUGGACGAGCUGUAUGGUGAAGACGACCCUCUCACAGUGGAGUGGAGUGCCAUCAAACUGUCCCUCGGCAGUGACAUCGUCGACACGCACAAGUGGGUGGUGAGUGACGUACCUGUGGACGUACCUGUGGACGUGCCUGUGGAUUGAGAAAAUUACCUCCGUGUUGGACAACAACAAGACGCUCUGUCUGGCUAACGGUGAAAGGAUCAAGCUCACACCUUCUACACACGUUAUUCGAGGUGUUACCCAUCAGACACAGAUAGCACCGGUCCUAA